ACCCCUGUGAUCCAAUUGGAAGAGGUGUCGAUCUCAAAAAUCGAUUGUUACUGGUUCAAAUCCAGUCAGGGGUA
rnacentral:tRNA from 1 species